rnacentral:rRNA from 1 species
UUACCAGCUUUUGACAUGUCCGGUUUGAUCGGCAGAGAUGCCUUUCUUCAGUUCGGCUGGCCGGAACACAGGUGCUGCAUGGCUGUCGUCAGCUCGUGUCGUGAGAUGUUGGGUUAAGUCCCGCAACGAGCGCAACCCUCGCCCCUAGUUGCCAUCAUUCAGUUGGGAACUCUAGGGGGACUGCCGGUGAUAAGCCGCGAGGAAGGUGGGGAUGACGUCAAGUCCUCAUGGCCCUUACAGGCUGGGCUACACACGUGCUACAAUGGCGGUGACAAUGGGCAGCGAAGGAGCGAUCCGGUGCUAAUCCCAAAAAGCCGUCUCAGUUCAGAUUGCACUCUGCAACUCGAGUGCAUGAAGGUGGAAUCGCUAGUAAUCGUGGAUCAGCAUGCCACGGUGAAUACGUUCCCGGGCCUUGUACACACCGCCCGUCACACCAUGGGAGUUGGGUUUACCCGAAGGCGUCGCGCUAACCGCAAGGAGGCAGGCGACCACGGUAGGCUCAGCGACUGGGGUGAAGUCGUAACAAGGUAACCGUA